rnacentral:tRNA from 1 species
CGGGGAAUAGCUCAAUGGUAGAGCAACGUAAAAUAUAUCUAGUUUAGAUAUUAACUGCAAUUUAAAGCAUUCGGAGCCGUUGGUUGUAGGUUCGAAUCCUGCUUCCCCGA